GAAGAAGCUAAAUGGGCCUCAAUAAAAGAAUCGAUAAAAAAGAAUUGAUACAAAAAAAUCCCAGAAGGAAAUUUUAAUCAAUGACAAGACCAAGCAACCGUGGCCCAGUCCAAGGUAACCCAAGACAGUAACUGGGCUGCACCGACCACCUUGUCAAUCUCAUAUUCUGGUCAGCUCCAAUGAACAGUGUCUGUGUGGACAAUGUUGGCUCUGCGGGAUGAAAGAUGGGUUGCAGAGAAAAGGGACCAAUGGAAUUGCAUUUAGCACAACACUCUGAUCGCUGAAGAAAUGAAAGGAGACAAGAAGUAGGAUGCUAGGAGUGUAUUGGUUUAACUUCAAAGGCUAGAAAAUUGAAGAUGAUUGGACAAGCUUUCCAUAAAUGCAACUGGGACAACCCAGUUUCAUGCUGCUAUAUGGCAUCGUGUCAUUGGUGUGUACUGAUUGCUGUAAAAGUGGAUUAAGACAUCUGAGGUGCUGGUUCCAAGGAUAUUCUUGCCCGAGUUAUGAUGCCAAACUGACCAAGUCCUCCAAGAACACUGUGAAAUAGGUCGCUAUUUUGCUUCUCCGAGCAAUUUAGUACUUCCCCUUUUCCUGCACUCAGUUUCAGUAAUUUUACAUAAGGAUUUGUGCGAUACACAUGAUUUUUUUUUCAUGCUAUUUUUUCAUAUUUGUGUGUGCUUGUGAACCCUCGUGUUUUAUUUUUGUAAUUGAACAUCAAAUUAUUGGCAAUGGUCAAAGUAUCUUAUGUGGAACCAAGGUCUAGCACAGCAUGCAUAGCAAGGACGUCAUAAAUACUUCACUCGACCCUGGUCCCAUUAUGCCUAGAUUGAAAUUAUCCAUUUGUGAUGCGUACUGUGUUAUUGUUUUUCCCUUCUUUUUUAAUCUAUUUUCGAAAUUUUACUAAUCUUACUUUAACGAACCUGUAACAACUUCCAUCUGGUGGACAUUACUGAUCUGAGGGCCAUGCCGAAAUGCCUGCCCACUAACCCCAGCAUUAGACAAAGUACCACCAACAGUUAAAUGUAAGUAGUCUGUCCAUGAUUUUGGUGCUAACCCAUACUCCAGGCAUUCACGCAGGAUAUCUAUCCAUAACUCACCGGCAGAGGCAUCCACAUAUGGAUUGUUUCCAGUGUAGACAUGCAUUUUAGGGCCUUGGAGUGAUUCCAUGUUGAUUACAACUCCUUGGUGGGCUUGUGCCUGACCCUGGAGUGAGUGGCUGUGACCUCUAGCUGCAACUGUGAGCUCUGAAUUCGGACCCAUCUGCCAGAUAUGCCUUAUUGUAGUGGCAAUAUCAGAAACCGACUUUGGAUAUAGUACUGCCAAAGGGAGUAGCUGAAACCUAUUGCCGAAGUCUUUGGCUGCAUGGUGAACUUCAUCAAAGCUGAAAUGACCAUCAACGGAUAGGGUUCUCAAUGAAGAAGGGUUGCUGGAAAAACAAAGCUUGAAAGUUGAGGAGACGAAGGUGUUAAGCUGGUUUUCCUGCGCGUUUGUUAGCAAAAAGGCUAAAGGAGUGGUAUGGAGGAGCCAAGGAAAUGGAGGGUCGAGGGGAGAAUUUAAAGGUGAAGAUCUUGGAUGGCUGAGUCAACCAAUAUUCAGUUUAAAGAAUCCGUAUGAAGACUGCCUACUUGUUAGGACUUGCUUUUGGUUCUCCUUUUUGUGCUCUUUUAUUUAUAACAGCAACCAUCAAACACAGAUGCCAAGUUGAAGAGAAAAGUCACAAGAAAGAAGAUUUCACAAAUCUUUGCACUUUUUUCCAACAGUUGCAACCACAAUCUCACCUUUUCACCAAAGACAAACUUGUCUAGAAAUUUAUCUCACUUACCAUGUUAAGGAAACGUUUUCCUAUAUCUAGAAAAUGGAAAUACCCAAUGGCUUCACGGUAUGCGUAUCUCCACUGCCUCUGAUGACAGGUAUGCCCAUACCUAUGUCUCUCGUACAUGAAUUAUUAUAGGCUAUGUUUUUGUCGCUGUCCGAAUGUAAGCAUCGCGUAUCUGCAUUGAGAUCAGAUGAGAGCCUACGGGCCUCCCUUGGAUUUAUUUGAAGGGGAGGGAUGAUCAGGUGGGGUAUUUAUGGGUCCAUAUAACACGUGAAAUGCUAAUCUUUGUGUGCUUUGUGGGGUGAAGGGUUAUGAUUAGUCAUGUUGGGACCCUUUUGAACCAGUUUGAAGAGGUAGGAAGAAGAGCAGAGUAGAUGGGGAGGACAGAUUGAGGGAAGCACUGAAAGACUCUUCUACUUCCUCUCUGUUGUUUAUUGUUUUGAAGCCUAAGUUCCCAGCAAACGGACAAGUCCGAAGGAUUCUCUUGUUUAUUUGUUUGCAAGUUCAGUUGAAUUACGCUAGUGCAAUUAUUGCCUUAA